rnacentral:rRNA from 1 species
CAGUCGCCGCGGUAAUACGAAGGGUGCAAGCGUUACUCGGAAUUACUGGGCGUAAAGCGUGCGUAGGUGGUGGUUUAAGUCCGUUGUGAAAGCCCUGGGCUCAACCUGGGAAUGGCAGUGGAUACUGGCUCGCUAGAGUGUGUCAGAGGAUGGUGGAAUUCCCGGUGUAGCGGUGAAAUGCGUAGAGAUCGGGAGGAACAUCAGUGGCGAAGGCGGCCAUCUGGGACAACACUGACGCUGAGGCACGAAAGCGUGGGGAGCAAACAGGAUUAGAUACCCGGGUAGUCCCUGUCUCUUAUAC